CCCUCCUUCUGGUGUUUUGUGGGUGAGCCCAGGAUAGGGAACCAGUACUUUUACUACUCUCGGGAGUUCAGCAAACCUUUACAGGAAUUCGGGUAAAUUGCUGAUCAUUUUAAUAACCCAGCACACCUACCCCUGUUCUACCAGGCGACGGAGCACUGGAACAGGCUGCCCAGGGAGGUGGU